rnacentral:sRNA from 1 species
GCCUGGCAAGGUGGCACCUGCCUGUAAUCCCAGCAGCUUGGGAGGCUGAGGCAGGAGGAUUGAGAGUUCAAAGCCAGCCUCAGCAAAAGCGAGGUGCUAAGCAAUUCAGUGAGACCCUGUCUCUA